rnacentral:rRNA from 1 species
UUAAGGGCAAAUGGUGGAUGCCUUGGGACCAAAAGCGAUGAAGGACGUGGUGUAGCUGCGAUAAGCCUCGGGGAGAUGUUAGCAAUCUUUGAUCCGGGGAUCUCCUAAUGGGGAAACCUGACUUUGCAAAACAAAGUCGUCGUAACAGAAGCAAACCCGCUGAAGUGAAACAUCUUAGUAGGCGGAGGAAAAAGAUAACAACAGUUAUUCCCUUAGUAGCGGCGAGCGAAGGGGGAGGAGCCCAAACUCAUUUGUGCUUUUGCAUAAAUGAGGGUUGUAGGGAAACGGCGUCUAUUAAAUUAGAGGAAGUAAAAAAUAUGGCUUAAUUAGCCGAAUCUUUCUGGAAAGAGGAACCAUAGACGGUGAAAGUCCGGUAAGCGAAAAUUAAGUCAUGCUUCUUGCUGUUUUACCUGAGUACCAUCGGACACAAGACGAGCCGGUGGGAAUCUGGCGGGACUACCCGCUAAGGCUAAAUAUAAUUUGGUCACCGAUAGUGAACAAGUACCGUGAGGGAAAGGUGAAAAGCAGCCCGGUGAGGGCGGUGAAAUAGAACCUGAAACCAUUAUGCCCACAAAGAGUCAGAGCUGAAUUUAUUCAGUGAUGGCGUGCUUUUUGCAGAACGAGCCAACGAGUUUCUUUUACUAAUUUGUCUAAGCGCUUAUGGCGUGGAGGCACAGGGAAACCGAGUCUUAAAAGGGCGAAUUUAAUUAGUAGAGGAAGACCCGAAGCCAGACGAGCUUGCCAUGGCCAGGAUGAAGCUCCUAGAAAUAGGAGUGGAGGUCCGAACCCGUAGACCGUACAAAAUCUUGGGAUGAGCUGUGGCAAGGAGUGAAAAGCUAAUCGAGUUUGGUAAUAGCUGGUUCUUCCCGAAAUAGUUNUGGCGUGGAGGCACAGGGAAACCGAGUCUUAAAAGGGCGAAAUAUAAAUUAGUGGAGGAAGACCCGAAGCCAGACGAGCUUACCAUGACCAGGAUGAAGCUUUCAGAAAUGAAAGUGGAGGUCCGAACCCGUUGACCGUACAAAAUCUUGGGAUGAGUUGUGGUAAGGAGUGAAAAGCUAAUCGAGUUUGGUAAUAGCUGNUGGUAAUAGCUGGUUCUUCCCGAAAUAGUUUUAGGACUAGCCUCUUUGAUAUUCAUCUUCGGAGGUAGAGCACUGGAAGAAAUACCGUGGCUUCGGCUAGGUAUUUUUACCAAACUCCGAAUGCCGAAGAUAUUACAGGGGGAGUCAGACUACGGGGGCGAAGCUCCGUAGUCGCGAGGGGAACAACCCAGACCAUCAUCUAAGGUCCCUAAAUUUAGGCUAAGUGUCAGUAAGGAGGUGGAAUUUCUCAGAUAGCUAGGAGGUUAGCUUAGAAGCAGCUACNCCUUUAAAAAGUGCGUAACAGCUUACUAGCUAAGAGAUUUUGCGCCGAAGAUUUCCGGGACUAAAGCCUAGUACCGAAGAUAUGGCUGAAUACGUUUUUCGUAUUCGGGGUAGGGAAGCGUCUUUAUUGCGCUGAAGCUGAACCGUGAGGUUCGGUGGAGCGAUAAGGAGUGAGAAUGUUGGCAUGAGUAACCACAAUUGCAGUGAGAGUCUGCAACACCGUAAACCCAAGGUUUCCUUGGCAAUGGAGAUCAUCCAAGNNNNNNNNNNNNNNNNNNNNNNNNNNNNNNNNNNNNNNNNNNNNNNNNNNNNNNNGCCGAAAGGCGUAUCUGAUGGACAGCCGGUUAAUAUUCCGGCCCUCCAAUAUUUUUCCGUAGGGUGACGCAAUUUAGUAGUUUGGGCGGGUUAUUGGAUUCCCGUCGACUGCCUGAGGGGCAACCCAAGGGUAGGCGUGAAGCUUGUCGCAAGACAAGUGAAAUCAAAUGAGCAAGUUGCCCAGAAAAACCCGCAGGGUUAAAAAUAUUGGAUCCGUACCGUAAACCGACACAGGUGGGUGGGCACAAGUGUGCCAAGGUGAACAAGUGAAAGGUCCUGAAGGAACUCGGCAAAAAAGUGGUCGUAACUUCGGGAUAAGACCUCCCUUUUGAGUUUAUUGCUUUUGCAGUUUAUAUAAAAAGGGCGCAGCGAGCGUAUCUCUAGCGACUGUUUAUCAAAAACACAGGUCCCUGCUCAACUCGCAAGAGGAAGUAUAGGGGCUGAGGCCUGACCAGUGCCAGAGUGUUAAAAGUGGUUGUUGUUUCAGCAAUGGGACAGCUGUCCGCUCCAAGCCUCUGGUGAACGUCCGCGGUAACUCUGACCGUGUUAAAGUAGAACAACGCACUGCUUUAGUAAAAUCUGGCUAUAUGCUGGAAAACCUGGUGCAUCCGGCGUUACUAUGGUAUAAUAUUGUUAAGGUUUGAUAACACCUUAUCAAAACAUUAUGCCAAGUAAAAAAACGUCCGGUGCAGGCAAUCAGCAGGAAAGGCUUAGAUUUAUCGGCUGGGUCAUUGGAUUCGUUGACGGAGAAGGAUGCUUUACGAUUAGUUUUUUUAAGCAUCCCAAGUCCCGUUUACGAUUAAAAUGGCAAGUAUUUCCAGAAUUUGUUAUUACUCAAGGAAUGAAAAGUAGGCCCGCACUUGAAAAGAUUAAAAACUUUUUCGGGUGCGGUAAAAUCUACCUGAAUAAAAGAUACGACAACCAUCACGAGCAUCUGCUGAAAUAUGUAGUUCGCGACCGUGAAGAUUUGUUAGAAAAGAUUAUUCCAUUUUUUGAGAAAAAUUGUUUGCGAACCGCAAAAAAAGAAGAUUUCUUCAUUUUUGCAAAGAUUGUCCGAAUGAUGGGCGAAGGUAAACACCUUAAAGAAAAAGGAUUGGAGAAAAUCCGAUCACUGGUUCUAAAGAUGAAUACCCGCAAAUACCGAUAAAUUAAGAAUCCUCAGAGACUAUACGCCAGACUCAUUUAAAGAAAACUGUUUAAAUGAGAAGAUAUAGUCCGAACUUCAUGGCGACAUGAAGAGUUCCACGAAAGUGGAUAUAACAUAUUGAGCGUAAUCCCUUGNUCGGGUAAGUUCCGACCCGCAUGAAAGGCUUAACGACUAGAGA